UUAAUAGUAUGUAAGAAUGAUGCAACUAAAAAGGAACAGUUGCAAGUACUUAGGCCUCUCCAAAGGGAGGAUUGAAAUUAUUUCGAUAAGUAUGAUCCUCGUAUCUUGAAGGUAAGACAGCACCGUGUGAUGGUAGGCUAUCUAUUACAUCAAGUACUUAGCAAAUCCAAACACCUAAGCGCUAAGAAAGUUACCAGAAAUCAUCUUCAAAUUAUUGAAAACUGAGAUGUCUCAAUGCCAAUGGACAACCUUAGAUGUCUCAAUGUCAAAUCAAUAUGUCAAAAUCUCCAUAUUAGAAACCAAACGCACAGCAUUUCUAGUAAACAAACUUGUAUUGCAAUAUUUCCUAGUCAUCGUUCCGCUCAUAGUGCUGUUGUUUAAGCACAUCUAUCUCAACUUCUAUAUUGAAGACACCUUUUGUGGGAAUGGAGUGAAUCUAUUUGUAGUGCUGAGAGACUUCCAUUACCACCUUGUCCAUGAACUGGCAUUUCUUGUCAAAUCCCCACCCCGGAUUGCUCUGUAGAGACAAAACAGCACGCUCUGUGAACCGCUUUACUGAAUUAGGUGCACUCUCUGGAAGAGUUUUUGCUACUCUUUCCAGCUCUUGUUGCUGUUGCUUUGCCGUUACUCUAUCGGGCCCACUGUAGUAAUCAACUAUCUCUUUCAUAAGUGGGACAGUCUCCAUAGUUUCUUUGAUGACUUCCUCCCACUCUUCUUGAUCUUUAAUCCCUUCAUAUGCCAUGAGGAAUGGCUUCAUUUUUUCAAGAGCAUCACGAAGAGGA
rnacentral:misc_RNA from 1 species